rnacentral:rRNA from 1 species
UACGGAGGAUCCGAGCGUUAUCCGGAUUUAUUGGGUUUAAAGGGUGCGUAGGUGGCUUUUUAAGUCAGGGGUGAAAGACGGUAGCUUAACUAUCGCAGUGCCUUUGAUACUGAAGAGCUUGAAUGAACUAGAGGUAGGCGGAAUGUGACAAGUAGCGGUGAAAUGCAUAGAUAUGUCACAGAACACCAAUUGCGAAGGCAGCUUACUAUGGUUUUAUUGACACUGAGGCACGAAAGCGUGGGGAUCAAACAGG